AAUGAGCCGACGACUCAUAGGCAGUGGCUUGGUUCAAGGAACCCACCGGAGCCAUAGCGAAAGCGAGUCAGAAUGGGGCAAUUCUCACUGCUUAUGGACCCGAACCUUUCUUCUUCAGGAUGCAGCUUGGGUGAAACUAAGUGGAGGUCCGAAUUGACUGAUGUUGAAGAAUCAGCGGAUGAGUUGUGGUUAGGGGUGAAAUGCCACUCAAACAAAAGCUAGCUGGUUCUCCCUGAAAUGCAUUGAAGCGCAGCAGUUGACUGGACAUCUAGGAGUAAAACACUGUUUCGGUGCGGCCAAUGAGAGCAGUACCAAAUUGAAGCAAACUCUGAAUAUUAGAUACGAUCUCAAAAUCACAAGGGUCAAGGUCGGCGAGUGAGACGAUGAGGGAUAAGCUUCAUCGUCGAGAGGGAAA
rnacentral:ncRNA from 1 species